CGUCAAAUCAUCAUGCCCCUUAUGUCUUGGGCUUCACGCAUGCUACAAUGGCCGGUACAAAGGGUUGCGAUACUGUGAGGUGGAGCUAAUCCCAAAAAGCCGGUCUCAGUUCGGAUUGAGGUCUGCAACUCGACCUCAUGAAGUCGGAGUCGCUAGUAAUCGCAGAUCAGCAACGCUGCGGUGAAUACGUUCCCGGGCCUUGUACACACCGCCCGUCACACCAUGGGAGUGGAUUG
rnacentral:rRNA from 12 species